UUUUUAUUGAGAGUUUGAUCCUGGCUCAGGACGAACGCUGGCGGCGUGCUUAACACAUGCAAGUCGAGCGAUGAAGUUCCUUCGGGAACGGAUUAGCGGCGGACGGGUGAGUAACACGUGGGUAACCUGCCUCAUAGAGGGGAAUAGCCUUUCGAAAGGAAGAUUAAUACCGCAUAAGAUUGUAGUUUCGCAUGAAACAGCAAUUAAAGGAGUAAUCCGCUAUGAGAUGGACCCGCGUCGCAUUAGCUAGUUGGUGAGGUAACGGCUCACCAAGGCGACGAUGCGUAGCCGACCUGAGAGGGUGAUCGGCCACAUUGGGACUGAGACA
rnacentral:rRNA from 1 species